rnacentral:rRNA from 1 species
UAAUACGGAGGGUGCGAGCGUUGUCCGGAAUCACUGGGCGUAAAGGGCGCGUAGGCGGCCUGAUAAGUAGGGGGUGAAAUCUUGCGGCUUAACCGCAAGGCUGCCUUCUAAACUGUCAGGCUAGAGCACAGUAGAGGCAGGUGGAAUUCCCGGUGUAGCGGUGGAAUGCGUAGAGAUCGGGAAGAACAUCAGUGGCGAAGGCGGCCUGCUGGGCUGUUGCUGACGCUGAGGCGCGACAGCGUGGGGAGCAAACAGGAUUAGAUACCCU